GGUCCAGGCCGCUCACCUUAAGGACGCAGAGUGGCGUCAGAUUUGGAGAAGCGCCGGGGACCGUGGAGGAAGUCAUCGGCCUGGAUUUCUUUGGAUUUGCAGAUAGGGUUCCAGCAGAACUGAAAGGUAUUUACUUCUGUCACGUAUACACUGUUAAGGAAGAAAUUAUCCAUGACACUUGUUAAAGAAAGUAAGGCGGACUUUAUUCAACAAGCUGCCAUCAAGGUGAAUUGCUGUGUUGUGGACAUUCCUUAAGAUCAAAUGUACAUAAAACCUGUCUGUAUCUAUGUCUCUUCUUAGGGUGUCCAUUUGUGUGCAUUAUUUGCUUUCUGUUUUGUUCUUUGAACCCAUUGUAACACAAUAGACUUAAAAUUAUUUACUAAAUUUGCUUUGAUUAAGGUAUUGGUGUUUAUAUUUGGGUCAUGAAAGAGUAACGUGUAAUUAGUCGCAACAGUUACAAGGGCAAGUUAGCGUCCUUACCUUUUUGCUGAGAUGUCUGAAAUAUUUACAGUUUCUUGUGAAAUCAAGCUGUGCCUGCACACUGUCCUGACACUGCAGUCACAAGUCACCAGAGAAUUUUAUACUGCCAGAGCCUCAUUCUCAGUCUUUGAUCCCUCUUUAUUUGCUGCUGUUGAUCACAGUAUCCUUCUUGAGACUCUUUUCUCACUUAUUUCUCUCAUCAUCUCUCUAAAAAUUAUCCCCCUGACCUCUGCUUGGGCUUUUCUUUCUUUCCCCAUCUUCUAGUGGGAUGGUAUGCCUCUUUGUGUAGAAUGCUUUGAGACAGAAAGCCUGAUUUAGUUCCACUAUGUGGGCACCUUCCAAAUAAUAAAACAACUGGAGGAGUGAAUGCUUACUCAGGACAAAUCUGCCUCAAUUUAUUCAUCGGGAAAAUGAGGAGUUUAAAUUGUAUUCCCCAGACAUUCAAACUGGGAUACUCAGAGCUCUAAGCUUUCACACCAGUACUUCAGGGACCACUGCAGAAGGUGAGGGAAAAAGCAUCCAUGUGGUAUGAUUCUAGACCCUCCCUCUAGGGACAUUUAAACUGAUAUUGCUUUUACCUGUUUGUUUUAUUAUUCAACAUGAGGUACCAUGUGAAACGAAAAAAGAAGUCAGCAAAAAAGAAUAAAAACUUUAUUAAAUG